GACGAACGCUGGCGGCGUGCUUAACACAUGCAAGUCGAACGGAAAGGCCCUGCUUGCAGUGUGCUCGAGUGGCGAACGGGUGAGUAACACGUGGGUGAUCUGCCCCUUAUUUUGGGAUAAGCCUGGGAAACUGGGUCUAAUACUGGAUAGGACCAUGCUGCAGGUGGUGUGGUGGAACGAUUAGUUUCGGUAAGGGAUGAGCUCGCGGCCUAUCAGCUUGUUGGUGGGGUAAUGGCCUACCAAGGCGUCGACGGGUAGCCGGCCUGAGAGGGUGGACGGCCACAUUGGGACUGAGAUACGGCCCAGACUCCUACGGGAGGCAGCAGUGGGGAAUAUUGCACAAUGGGCGCAAGCCUGAUGCAGCGACGCCGCGUGGGGGAUGACGGCCUUCGGGUUGUAAACUCCUUUCAGCCAUGACGAAGCCCUUGUGGUGACGGUAGUGGUAGAAGAAGCACCGGCUAACUACGUG
rnacentral:rRNA from 1 species